UUCUGUUUGGUAUUUUUCUACUCCCUCUGGAAAGAUUUAUAAGACGUUUUAGAAAGUGUAGUUCAAAUCUCGGCACGUUAAGAAAAUUCGGUCGUUUCCAUUUUUGCCCCUGCGCUCACUCACUCACCCGCACUCACCCAUUCCCCUCUCGCACUCACUCGCCCGCGUCGACGUCUCCCUGCCCGAAUCCGGCGCGGUGGCGACGCGCCUCACUCUCCGGCGUGGUGGCGACGCUCCUCCCUCUCGCCCGCGUCGACACCUCCCUCUCGGCCGCUUCGCAGCCUCCCUUCUCCUCUUGUCGCCGCCUCUCCCUCUCCUCGCCCGCGUUGUCUAGCCAAAAUUGUUUUUUUAGUGAGGUCAGGAUGAGCGGGAGGAGCGCGUUCGUCCCCCGCGCUGACGUCGGCGUCGAGGAAUAAGCAGGUGGAGGGCAUGGCGGAGCGGCGCCGCCGCAAGCACCUCAAUGACCUCCGCUCCGUCUUACUCCAAGAUCUAGAAGUCACACAUUGCCGCCAAUGGAGCAGAGCAAAAGGAGGAGGGCGACACCCAGGGAGAGGGGCGGUAGGAACACGAGCGAGCGGCUGUUUUAGAUGAGGAGGAGCGGAGGCAGCGAUGACAUGGUGCAGGCGACCUUCCAUCUGUUGCUGACCAGUGGAGGAGGAGCAGGAGGACGUCGGCGCCGUCGGAAUGUGGAGAACAAUCAAUUUGCAGGAUCAAUCCCAGAGAAGAUGCUCAGCGUCCCAAAAUUAGUGCAGAAGACAGGACAACCACGUAACCAUUCAAUUUCUGCAUAAGAAAGGACAACCAUUUAACCAUUCUGAUCCACGGUUCCUCUCCGACGACAGUGAGUUGCUGUUUGUACUCCAUGUUCUUUUGCUUGUACUGCUAGUGGUUAUGCUUGUGCUGCUAUAUCUUCUGGUGCUGCUAGAUUAAUAUGAGUAGGAGUAGAGUACAUGCAGUAGUUAGAGUGCUUGCUCAGAGUAGGAUUUUUGUUAGGAGCAGUUAGAGUACUCUACUGGAAGUCUGAAAGUACUCCUUGUAAGAGUAGUUUUUUUUUUAGAAAAGGAGGAUGACCCCCGGCCUCUGCAUCUAGGAGAGUGAGGCGUAUAAUCCAUUUCCACAAACAACUUUAAAACAAUAUAAUCCAUUUCGACAAAAAAGACUCCAUGGAUGCAUUUCCACAAACAAGUCUCAUCAUAGCACUACAAGUCUCAACAUACUCCACUGCAUGCUCAGUCGACAUCUUGUCCUAGAAUCUCCAUGGCAUUAUCAUAAACUUCACGAGGGAAAUGUAUCAUAGGCGGUAGCAUUCCUUGCCUUCAGCAUCAUAUCUGGGUCGAGCAACAGCGGUCAGGAACAUUACUUUGCCAAUACAGUUCUUGUUCCGAAUGGUUCUGACCGGGUCAUCUUCAUGAGGGAGGAGGUAGUAGUUUCUGUUCAUUUUUGUCAUAUAGAACCACUUUUCGUCAAUAUGCACAAUGUUGUGCAUACUGAUGAAUUUAGGUCUUGUAGCUGCUAAAGUUGUCUCAUCAAGCAUCGACAUACAAAACUUGAUUCUUUCUCUUUUAUUCUUUUCUUUCAAGCUUGGCUUCAAACGAUUGGAGUGCCUCCUAAUCUUGUGAAGCUUGAGUUUCUGGUAGAGUGUAGUAUGACUGACACCCAAUGCGCGAGCAAGUGACCUGAGAGUCGACCUUCUAUUCAAUGGAACUGUGGGGAUUUGAGAUAGGACAUUAUCCUUUCCUUUCCUUCCACAUCUUCUUUUCUUUUGGUUGGACACAUCCACCUCCUUACCAAGCUCUUUUUGUCGCUCUGCUGUCCUCCAGAUUCUCUGAAUAACUUGAAUAUCAGCUUGAAAAAUUCGAGCAACAUCCUUCUUGUCAGUUCUUUUGAACUCGCCACCCCUACUCAUAUUCAGCGUAAGCAUUGCCAUGUGGUGAGCAGUUCAGGUCUGGGAGCAUUUUGUGCUGCUGCUGCUAUGUUCCGGUACUGUUGAUGUGAUACUGCUUCUCCUCUUGCUACUGAUCCUGUGCUGUUGCUCCACUUGCUACUGUUGUUGUGCUGGUGCUGCUCUUGCUGAUAAUGCUGCUAAUAAUGCCGCCUGCUAUUGAUACUGCUGAUAAUGCUGUUGUUGUUGCUGGUCCUCUUGAUCAACUGCUCCUCUUGAUCAGCUGUUGUGUUAAUGAUGCUCUUAAUGCUUUUGUUGUCCUAAUCCUGAGCUAUCGAUCUCUUGAUGUGGAGUAAUUUGAAGAUCUCUUUUGUUGUCCUACUCCUGUACUCUUGAUCUUGAUCUGGAGCACACCUGAUUCCUUGAUCUGGAGUAAUUUGAAGAUCUCCUGAUCUGGUGUUGUGCUAUGAUGAGAAAUUAUUGCUACUGUGAUUUAUUGCUGCUCUCGAAGCUACUCCUCUUGAUCUUAUACUCCACUGUCAAGCACAUGGAUCUUGUACUCCACUAUAGUGGAAUUGAUUUUGAUCUCGUAUCUUGCUAAUGUAUUGCUUCUCCUUGCUCUGGGCGACGCGAGGAGUACCUGGGCGAGGAGCACCUGGGCGCGAGGAGGAGGGCUAGGGCGCGAGGAGGAGGACCUGGGCGCGCGAGCAGGAGGGCCAGGGCGCGAGGAGGACCUGGGCGCGCGAGGAGGAGGGCCUGGGCGCGGCGACGGCAAGGCUGGGCGCGAGGAGGAGGACCAGGGCACGGCAACGGCCAGGCUGGGCGCGUGGAGGGGCCCGGCGGCGACAAGGCUGGGCGCAGCCAGGCGACGGGGACGAGCGGGUGACGACGGGGACCAGCUCCUGGACACAGCCAGGCGACGGGGACCAGCUCCUGGACACAGCCAGGCGACGGCGACGGCAAGGCUGGGGGCGUGGAUACGGGGACGACGCGAGGAAGAAGACGACUGGUUCGAAAUUCAAAAUAAGGGCAUAAUGGUCUAUUUGCACUUUUGUCGGCUGUGUCUGAAAAUCCCUCAACGUCUUAUAAAUCUUUCCAGAGGGAGUACUUUGUUUUCUUGCGAAAAUAUGAAUUCUCUUUUGUCAUGAAUUCUAUAUCGAAAAGGGAUUAAUAAAACUAUAUGCUCUCUGCUCUGUAUCUAGAGCUGUGGCGCGUGGUUGCUGUUGCUUGUAGUUGAUAGUAGCAUGUCAGCGUGUAUUGCCAUAUUUCCAGAAAGCAAAAUGGAAGUCAAUAAAGUGGUUUUACUUAAAAGUUA